rnacentral:rRNA from 1 species
CACCAGACUCCUACGGGAGGCAGCAGUGGGGAAUAUUGCACAAUGGGGGAAACCCUGAUGCAGCGACGCCGCGUGAGUGAAGAAGUAUUUCGGUAUGUAAAGCUCUAUCAGCAGGGAAGAAAAUGACGGUACCUGAGUAAGAAGCCCCGGCUAACUACGUGCCAGCAGCCGCGGUAAUACGUAGGGGGCAAGCGUUAUCCGGAAUUACUGGGUGUAAAGGGAGCGUAGACGGUGAAGUAAGUCUGGAGUGGAAGGCGGGGGCCCAACCCCCGGACUGCUCUGGAAACUAUUUGACUGGAGUGCAGGAGAGGUAAGCGGAAUUCCUAGUGUAGCGGUGAAAUGCGUAGAUAUUAGGAGGAACACCAGUGGCGAAGGCGGCGUACUGGACUGUAACUGACGUUGAGGCUCGAAAGCGUGGGGAGCAAACAGGAUUAGAUACCCCCGUAAAA